rnacentral:rRNA from 1 species
CAGCGAAAGGUGCUUGCACCUUUCAAGUGAGUGGCGAACGGGUGAGUAACACGUGGACAACCUGCCUCAAGGCUGGGGAUAACAUUUGGAAACAGAUGCUAAUACCGAAUAAAACUUAGUGUCGCAUGACAAAAAGUUAAAAGGCGCUUCGGCGUCACCUAGAGAUGGAUCCGCGGUGCAUUAGUUAGUUGGUGGGGUAAAGGCCUACCAAGACAAUGAUGCAUAGCCGAGUUGAGAGACUGAUCGGCCACAUUGGGACUGAGACACGGCCCAAACUCCUACGGGAGGCUGCAGUAGGGAAUCUUCCACAAUGGGCGAAAGCCUGAUGGAGCAACGCCGCGUGUGUGAUGAAGGCUUUCGGGUCGUAAAGCACUGUUGUAUGGGAAGAACAGCUAGAAUAGGAAAUGAUUUUAGUUUGACGGUACCAUACCAGAAAGGGACGGCUAACUACGUGCCAGCA